GCGAGUUGAAUGUCCGAAAGGGCAUAGCGCACUGCUCAGUAACACGUGGACAACCUGCCCUGAGGACUGGAAUAAUCCCGGGAAACUGGGGGUAAUUCCAGAUAAGCCAGGAUUUCUGGAAUGGGUUCUGGCAGAAAGGCUCCGGCGCCUCAGGAUGGGUCUGCGGCCUAUCAGGGUAGUAGUGGGUGUAACGUACCUACUAGCCUACGACGGGUACGGGUUGUGAGAGCAAGAGCCCGGAGAUGGAUUCUGAGACAUGAAUCCAGGCCCUACGGGGUGCAGCAGGCGCGAAAACUUUACAAUGCGGGCAACCGCGAUAAGGGGACCUCGAGUGCUGGGUUACAAACCUGGCUGUUGGGCUGCCUAAAAAGCAGUCUAUAGCAAGGGCCGGGCAAGACCGGUGCCAGCCGCCGCGGUAACACCGGCGGCUCGAGUGGUAACCGCUAUUAUUGGGUCUAAAGGGUCUGUAGCCUGCCGGCUAAGUCUCUUGGGAAAUCUGGCAUCUCAAGUGUCAGGCUGCCAGGGGAUACUGGUCGGCUUGGGACCGGGAGAGGUGAGAGGUACCUCAGGGGUAGGGGUGAAAUCUUGUAAUCCUUGAGGGACCACCAGUGGCGAAGGCGUCUCACCAGAACGGAUCCGACGGCAAGGGACGAAAGCUAGGGGCACGAACCGGAUUAGAUACCCGGGUAGUCCUAGCCGUAAACGAUACUCGCUAGGUGUCGGCCACGGUGCGACCGUGGUCGGUGCCGUAGGGAAGCCGUGAAGCGAGCCACCUGGGAAGUACGGCCGCAA
rnacentral:rRNA from 1 species